rnacentral:misc_RNA from 1 species
CGCUAUGACCGCAGCAACCAAGAAACUGACUUUUGCAGAGUAUCUCAAGUAUGACGAUGGCACGGAUACCCAAUACGAAUUGGUUGAUGGAGAAUUAAUCCCCAUGAGUCUUGGCACUGGCAAGCAUGGCGGAAUCUCCAAGUUUUUAGAACGAACCUUCGAUGACGAAAGUGCCAAGAUGGGAAGGAAUUGGACAGCACAAAAGUUUUCCGUCGGUAUU